CUUCUUCCUUGUUCUUGGUAUUCUUUAUUGUUCAUUAGCCAAACCAGCAAUCUUUUUGUUGGGCGGAGGCCGAUAAGAGCCAAGUCUAGCACCAUGACUAGGGGAUUGUUGGGCGGAGACCGGUAAAGGGACAAGUCCAGCACCUGACUUUUGAAAAUGUGUGGAAAUAUAAGAAAAUAAAAUUACCUCUUCACUACUUGCUAUACCUUUGGAUAGUGGUAAGCACUUAUCCUAAUACUUUCUCAUGACUUCCUUCUGUAAACUU